UCCCUCACAGGAUCGCACCUGGAGAGUUUCCAGUACUCUACCAGUCUCGGCUAACGGAGGGAGAGUCAAGCAAAGGCCUACCCCAUUCCAUUCCUAGCUUGGCCAGUGGCUAGCGAGUGGUAAGCAAUCUGCUACAAGU